rnacentral:rRNA from 1 species
UAACACGUGGAUAACCUACCUAUAAGACUGUGAUAACUUCGGGAAACCGGAGCUAAUACCGGAUGAUAUUUUGAACCGCAUGGUUCAAAAGUGAAAGACGGUCUUGCUGUCACUUAUAGAUGGAUCCGCGCUGCAUUAGCUAGUUGGUAAGGUAACGGCUUACCAAGGCAACGAUGCAUAGCCGACCUGAGAGGGUGAUCGGCCACACUGGAACUGAGACACGGUCCAG